rnacentral:rRNA from 1 species
UGCCUAAUACAUGCAAGUCGAACGGUAACAGAUCACGUAGCAAUACGUGGUGCUGACGAGUGGCGGACGGGUGAGUAACGCAUAGGAAUCUGCCCAGUAGCGGGGGACAACUUAGGGAAACUUAAGCUAAUACCGCAUACGCCCUACGGGGGAAAGCAGGGGAUCUUCGGACCUUGCACUAUUGGAUGAGCCUAUGUCUGAUUAGCUAGUUGGUGGGGUAAAGGCCUACCAAGGCGACGAUCAGUAGCUGGUCUGAGAGGACGACCAGCCACACUGGGACUGAGACACGGCCCAGACUCCUACGGGAGGCAGCAGUGGGGAAUAUUGGACAAUGGGGGCAACCCUGAUCCAGCAAUGCCGCGUGUGUGAAGAAGGCCUGCGGGUUGUAAAGCACUUUCAGUAGGGAAGAAAAGCCGAGUGCUAAUAUCACUCGGUCUUGACGUUACUUACAGAAGAAGCACCGGCUAACUCCGUGCCAGCAGCCGCGGUAAUACGGAGGGUGCGAGCGUUAAUCGGAAUUACUGGGCGUAAAGGGCGCGUAGGCGGUUUGGUAAGUCGGGUGUGAAAGCCCCGGGCUCAACCUGGGAAUUGCAUUCGAUACUGCCUGGCUAGAGUAUGGUAGAGGGAAGCGGAAUUCCGGGUGUAGCGGUGAAAUGCGUAGAUAUCCGGAGGAACACCAGUGGCGAAGGCGGCUUCCUGGACCAAUACUGACGCUGAGGCGCGAAAGCGUGGGGAUCAAACAGGAUUAGAUACCCUGGUAGUCCACGCCGUAAACGUUGGGCGCUAGGUGUGGGAUCCCUUCCACGGGUUCCGUGCCGCAGCUAACGCAUUAAGCGCCCCGCCUGGGGAGUACGGCCGCAAGGCUAAAACUCAAAGGAAUUGACGGGGGCCCGCACAAGCGGCGGAGCAUGUGGAUUAAUUCGAUGCAACGCGAAGAACCUUACCUGGGUUUGACAUACACCGGAAAGCCGUGGAGACAUGGCCUCCGCAAGGCCGGUGUACAGGUGGUGCAUGGCUGUCGUCAGCUCGUGUCGUGAGAUGUUGGGUUAAGUCCCGCAACGAGCGCAACCCUCGUCCCAUGUUGCCAGCGGGUUAUGCCGGGGACUCAUGGGAGACUGCCGGGGUCAACUCGGAGGAAGGUGGGGACGACGUCAAGUCAUCAUGCCCCUUAUGUCCAGGGCUUCACACAUGCUACAAUGGCCGGUACAAAGGGCUGCUAAGCCGUAAGGUGGAGCGAAUCCCACAAAGCCGGUCUCAGUUCGGAUCGGGGUCUGCAACUCGACCCCGCGAAGUCGGAGUCGCUAGUAAUCGCAGAUCAGCAACGCUGCGGUGAAUACGUUCCCGGGCCUUGCACACACCGCCCGUCAC